rnacentral:rRNA from 1 species
CUGGAAUGGUUCCUGACUAAAAUCUAUAUGGCCUCUGGAUUGGACUGCGGCCCGAUCAGGCUGUUGGUGAGGUAAUGGCCCACCAAACCUGUAACCGGUACGGGCUCUGAGAGGAGGAGCCCGGAGAUGGGCACUGAGACAAGGGCCCAGGCCCUAUGGGGCGCAGCAGGCGCGAAACCUCUGCAAUAGGCGAAAGCCUGACAGGGUUACUCUGAGUGACUUUCGCUAAGAAAGUCUUUUGGCACCUCUAAAAAGGGUGCAGAAUAAGGGGUGGGCAAGUCUGGUGUCAGCCGCCGCGGUAAUACCAGCACCCCGAGUGGUCGGGACGAUUAUUGGGCCUAAAGCAUCCGUAGCCGGUUCUGCAAGUCCCCCGUUAAAUCCAGCUGCUCAACAGAUGGGCCGCGGAGGAUACUACAGAUCUAGGAGGCAGGAGAGGCAAGCGGUACUCAGUGGGUAGGGGUAAAAUCCGUUGAUCCAUUGAAGACCACCAGUGGCGAAGGCGGCUUGCCAGAAUGCGCUCGACGGUGAGGGAUGAAAGCUGGGGGAGCAAGCCGGAUUAGAUACCCGGGUAGUCCCAGCUGUAAACGAUGCAGACUCGGUGAUGGGCUGGCCUCGCGCCUGCCCAGUGCCGCAGGGAAGCCGUUAAGUAUGCCGCCUGGGGAGUACGGUCGCAAGACUGAAACUUAAAGGAAUUGGCGGGGGAGCACCACAAGGGGUGAAGCCUGCGGUUCAAUUGGACUCAACGCCGGU